rnacentral:rRNA from 1 species
AUUGAACGCUGGCGGCAUGCCUUACACAUGCAAGACGAACGGCAGCACGGGAGCAAUCCUGGUGGCGAGUGGCGAACGGGUGAGUAAUAUAUCGGAACGUGCCCGGUCGUGGGGAUAACGUAGCGAAAGCUACGCUAAUACCGCAUACGAUCUAUGGAUGAAAGCGGGGGAUCGCAAGACCUCGCGCGAUUGGAGCGGCCGAUAUCAGAUUAGGUAGUUGGUGAGGUAAAGGCUCACCAAGCCGACGAUCUGUAGCUGGUCUGAGAGGACGACCAGCCACACUGGGACUGAGACACGGCCCAGACUCCUACGGGAGGCAGCAGUGGGGAAUUUUGGACAAUGGGCGCAAGCCUGAUCCAGCAAUGCCGCGUGCAGGAUGAA